AUUUAUAUAGUUUAAAUAUUAAAACAUUACAUUUUCAUUGUAAAAUUAAAAUAAUUUUUUUUUAUAAAUA
rnacentral:tRNA from 1 species